rnacentral:rRNA from 1 species
AUUGAACGCUGGCGGAAUGCUUUACACAUGCAAGUCGAACGGCAGCACGGACUUCGGUCUGGUGGCGAGUGGCGAACGGGUGAGUAAUACAUCGGAACGUGCCCAGUCGUGGGGGAUAACGUAGCGAAAGCUACGCUAAUACCGCAUACGAUCUAAGGAUGAAAGCGGGGGAUCGCAAGACCUCGCGCGAUUGGAGCGGCCGAUGGCAGAUUAGGUAGUUGGUGGGGUAAAGGCCUACCAAGCCGACGAUCUGUAGCUGGUCUGAGAGGACGACCAGCCGCACGGGGCCUGAGACGCGGCCCAGACUCCUACGGGAGGCAGCAGUGGGGAAUUUUGGACAAUGGGCGCAAGCCUGAUCCAGCCAUUCCGCGUGCGGGAUGAAGGCCCUCGGGUUGUAAACUGCUUUUGUACGGAACGAAACGGCUCUCACUAAUACUGGGGGCUAAUGACGGUACCGUAAGAAUAAGCACCGGCUAACUACGUGCCAGCCGCCGCCGUAAAAC